AUAUUACUUGUAGCAAUACAAGUGAUGCUUAGUGGCGUAAGGGUGCGUAACACGUGGGCAACCUGCCGAGAAGUGGGGGAUAGCUCGCCGAAAGGCGAAUUAAUACCGCAUGUGGUUAGGAAAGACAUCUUUCCGACACCAAAGCCGGGGCAACCUGGCGCUUCUUGAUGGGCCCGCGGCCUAUCAGCUAGUUGGUGAGGUAACGGCUCACCAAGGCUAUGACGGGUAGCUGGUCUGAGAGGACGACCAGCCACACUGGAACUGAGACACGGUCCAGACACCUACGGGUGGCAGCAGUCGAGAAUUUUUCUCAAUGGGGGAAACCCUGAAGGAGCGACGCCGCGUGGAGGAUGAAGGUCUUCGGAUUGUAGACUCCUGUCAUUGGGGAACAAGGUGCACACGUUAACUGCGUGUGCAUUGAUAGUACCUGAAGAGGAAGAGACGGCUAACUCUGUGCCAGCAGCCGCGGUAAUACAGAGGUCUCAAGCGUUGUUCGGAUUCAUUGGGCGUAAAGGGUGCGUAGGUGGCGCCGUAAGUCAGGUGUGAAAUCUCGGGGCUCAACCCCGAAACUGCACUUGAUACUGCGGUGCUCGAGUACUGGAGAGGAGAUUGGAAUUUACGGUGUAGCAGUGAAAUGCGUAGAUAUCGUAAGGAAGACCAGUGGCGAAGGCGAAUCUCUGGACAGUUACUGACACUGAGGCACGAAGGCCAGGGGAGCAAACGGGAUUAGAUACCCCGGUAGUCCUGGCAGUAAACGGUGCGCGUUUGGUGUGGGAGGAUUCGACCCCUUCUGUGCCGGAGCUAACGCGUUAAACGCG
rnacentral:rRNA from 1 species